rnacentral:lncRNA from 1 species
CCAAAUCCACAGUACCACUAUUAUAUCCUUAGCCAGCCAUCAAUUGAACCACUUCUAAAGUAGCCAAUGUCAUAACUAUAACGCAAUCACCCCAAGAUACAAAGAUACGCAAACCAAAUUUUAAUGAACUACAUAGAAAUGCAUCCGAAAUACCCACCAACCAUACAUAUGAACAGCAAACUGCUAUCAAAAAAGGGGGAAAAAAAUAGAACUCGCCUGACCAAAAAAAUCUACAGCCUUCCUUGGUAUGCCCAUUCCCCUGC